CCUACGGGUGGCAGCAGUGGGGAAUAUUGCACAAUGGGGGAAACCCUGAUGCAGCGACGCCGCGUGAAGGCAGAAGUAUUUCGGUAUGUAAACUUCUAUCAGCAGGGAAGAAAAUGACGGUACCUGGCUAAGAAGCCCCGUCUAACUACGUGCCAGCAGCCGCGGUAAUACGUAGGGGGCAAGCGUUAUCCGGAUUUACUGGGUGUAAAGGGAGCGUAGGCGGUGCAGCAAGUCAGAAGUGAAAGCCCGGGGCUCAACUCCGGGAGUGCUUUUGAAACUGUACGGCUGGAGUGCAGGAGAGGUAAGUGGAAUUCCAAGUGUAGCGGUGAAAUGCGUAGAUAUUAGGAGGAACACCAGUGGCGAAGGCGGCUUACUGGACUGUAACUGACGUUGAGGCUCGAAAGCGUGGGGAGCAAACAGGAUUAGAUACCCGGGUAGUC
rnacentral:rRNA from 1 species